AUUGAACGCUGGCGGCAGGCCUAACACAUGCAAGUCGAGCGGAUGAAGGGAGCUUGCUCCUGGAUUCAGCGGCGGACGGGUGAGUAAUGCCUAGGAAUCUGCCUGGUAGUGGGGGAUAACGUCCGGAAACGGGCGCUAAUACGGCAUACGUCCUGAGGGAGAAAGUGGGGGAUCUUCGGACCUCACGCUAUCCGAUGAGCCUCCGUCGUAUUAGCUAGUUGGUGGGGUAAAGGCCUACCAAGGCGACGAUCCGUAACUGGCCUGAGAGGCUGAUCAGCGACACUGGAACUGAGACACGGUCCAGACUCCUACGGGAGGCAGCAGUAGGGAAUCUUCGACAAUGGGCGAAAGCCUGAUCCAGCCACGCCGCGUGAGUGAUGAAGGUCUUCGGAUUGUAAAACUCUGUUAUUUGGGAAGAAGGGCAGUGAAUUAAUCCCUUGCUAUCUUGACGUUACCCACACAAUAAGCACCGGCUAACUUCGUG
rnacentral:rRNA from 1 species